AGAGUUUGAUUAUGGCUCAGAACGAACGCUGGUGGCGUGUCUUAUACAUGCAAGUCGAGCGAGGCAGCAAUGCCGAGCGGCGAACGGGUGAGUAACGCGUAAGCAAUCUGCCCCAUAUCAGGAAAUACCCGUGCCAACGCGCGGUUAAUGUCCAGGAGAGUGGCCCCUUGCAUGAGGGGUUGACUAGAGAUUUAUCGGUAUGGGAUGAGCUUGCGUCCGAUUAGCUAGUUGGCGGGGCAACGGCCCACCAAGGCGACGAUCGGUAGCCGGCCUGAGAGGGUGAUCGGCCACAUUGGGACUGAGAUACGGCCCAGACUCCUACGGGAGGCAGCAGUAGGGAAUAUUGCACAAUGGGGGAAACCCUGAUGCAGCAACGCCACGUGUGGGAAGAAGCAUUUCGGUGUGUAAACCACUGUCAUGAGGGAAUAAGGCCCGCCUUCGGGCGGGAUUGAAUGUACCUUGAGAGGAAGCACCGGCAAACUUCGUGCCAGCCGCUGC
rnacentral:rRNA from 1 species